UGACGAUCCAGGCGUGUCUUAAUAAAUGGAUCCAGAAGUGCUGGCACUGAUGUGGGAAGACGACGCGGUGGGAGCUCAUUCGGCGCAACAGGGGGUUAAUAACGAGAGGGAGAUUGGCGCGUGCGAUACAGUGGAGGAGAAGGGUGUUGACCGGCAUCCGGACCGAGGUUCGCGGGUUGGCCGCUGGUGAAUAAGGCGUGGGUAUUCGAGCUCUAUAACAUGGAAUUUCUCAGAGCAAAUGGAUUGUAUAACCGAACAACAUUUACUGAGAAAUGAGAAAGGGAACAGAAAUCACAUAGUACAUAAAAACGAAUACAGAUUGCUCUCGGAAUUUACUUUUCAACGAUAACGGUGGACAUAAAAAUCCGUCCCAUUUUCUUGUUUAUGUAAAAACAUAACCUGAACCAAUAUUGACUUCAAAAUCACCGAUUGGAGAAGAGCGAGAGAGGAAAGGGAGAAAGACAGGUGAAUGUAUGCUGUAGUGUGAAACGGGCGGCUCAGAUUCAAGGCGAAUGGAAAUGGUUCGAUGUGACUCAUUCGCGGCGCCCAGCGGACAUCGGCAUUUGACCGCCGCGCCCAUUCCAUCUCUUUCUUCGUCCACAACGAAGCUGGCAACUUUUUAGGAGGGCCAGCGGGUGGGUGGAAGAACAUUUCCUCUUCCAACGAUGAGCUUUCAUCGGAACACAGCGAAAUCCAAUUGAGCUAAAGGAAAAAUGAAGAAGAGAACGAGGGGGAAAGGGAGGGAGCGCGGAGUAGUCGGUGGUAUUUGUUUCAGAAUUGAAUGCUCUGAAACGGAAUGCGAGGAUUGAAAAACUUCAUGAACCAUUUGAAGUUAUCAGUUCUUGCCCAUCGAUUGUCAUAUUUAUGUUAACUAACUUAAGUUCUAUUUUAGGUUUGGGACACACUGCAGAGAUGUGACUCAUGUAAACCGGCGACUAACCGCCCGAGCUAUGAAAUGGCCGUAACAAUUAAUUAACAGUAAUAGUUGAACUUAAAAAAAAUAUUUAAUAAGAGGUUAUCGUCCAACUAAAUCGCUCUUGCUGUAUUUUCCAUGAUCUGAAAUGCCAGUAAUUCUUAACAUAUUUCAACCAUGAGGACGUGUUCGCAAAUUUUAAUAAACCUAACCAGUAAAUCUUAUAAUAUUCCAGAAAUCCGAAGUUGGGCAUUAAUGAAAAACUGUUAAGUAGUUUCUGAAGUUUUUAAAUGCGGGUAAACAGUGCGACAAAGAGACAAACAUGGUGAAGCUAAGAGGUUCAUUUUUGCAACAUUUACAUUUAAACACACAGAAAAUAAGGAAAAUGACUGACAUUUAUCCGAUACAUCUCCCAUGCGCUUUAAAACAUUGAACCCUGGACCGUUCAUUGGCGUUUAAAGACUUUUCGUUGUGCAAUUGGCUGGUACUUUAGUCAAGAGUUUUAGUGUGUGAUGAUUGUAAAUAUGAAACAGCUUAAGAUGUAUUGUUUUUGUUUCUAUCUGCCGUGCGCUGUAUUUCGCCUACAACACAGCGAAACGUACUUCAAAGAGAAAUUGUUUGAUAUAACAUUUGAGAGUCCUUUCCUGUUGGCUGUUUCGUGAAAAAUGGAUUGAAAUGUAGUGCAGCUCAUACACGUGAGAAUUUAUCAGCAAUAUAUUUCCGUGUACGGAAACUGUUACGUUAGUUUUGACAGUGAGUCACAAAAUAGUUCAUAAAUAGGUUAUGUUUUUUAUUGUAAAUUUUUUAGCAAGAAUUUUGCAUUUUUCGCAGCAAGCCCAACGUUCACACAAACUGAUACGGACUUUAAAGCUGAGUAUAUUUUAAAGUCCCUUCAUGAAAUAUUCUGGUAAUGUCAGAGCGGUGUGUGUGCACAUGCCUUUCAACAUGGAAUCAAGAUGCAAAUAUAUCAGUGAAACAGUAGACUGCAGCUUUACCUACAGCCUCAGUAUGCAUGUAUUCAUGAUUGUGUGGAGUUUUAUGCUGGUCUUAGGAAUUCCGAACAAAUUAAAUUGGACUUCGAGCAAUCUGAACUGUAGAUAAUUAAAAAAUCUAGUGUUCCA